UUAAUUACAAAGCAAUUUUGAACUAGUUAAUGAAAUAUAAAGACAGAUUUGCGUAGAAAUUAGAAAGUCUCCCUCUUUUUUUAUUUCAAAGUUGUUCUUAAUUAGCAAUUCUCUCUCAUUUUUUAUUUCAAAGUUGUUCACAUACAUUGAGUGGAACUUCAAAUUAUGAGAGACAACAGUGUAACUGGAAAUUGAAGUAUAAACCAAAAAAAUGAGAAGUCAGUGAAACAGCAACAGUAGCAGCAAAUGACCAAUCCAGCAACGACAAUAGGAGAAUUUUCAGGAAACAAAUGACACCAGCGAAUCCGAGAAUCAACCGAGCAAUCAAGAAAAUAACCAUAGAAUAAGAAAAAUUCCUCAAUGGAACAAUAAUAUACAAUUUUUUUAGAAUUUUCUUGUCUGUUUCUCUUCCUCUCUUUUAACUCACUAUUUUCAGAUUGUUUCGAAUUUUUCAGAUUCUUUUCCUAUCAAAUUUUCAAUUUUU
rnacentral:lncRNA from 1 species